rnacentral:rRNA from 1 species
UAUCAAUAAGCGGAGGAAAAGAAACUAACAAGGAUUCCCCUAGUAACGGCGAGUGAAGAGGGAUCAGCCCAAAUUUGUAAUCUGGCUCUUUUCAGAGUCUGAGUUGUAAUUUUGAGAACUGUUUUCUGCUCUGGACCAUGUACAAGUCUGUUGAAAUGCAGCAUCAUUGAGGGUGAGAAUCCUGUUCAUGAUAUGGACUACCAGAGCUUUAUGAUAUAGUCUCUAAGAGUCGAGUUGUUUGGGAAUGCAGCUCAAAGUGGGUGGUAAAUUCCAUCUAAGGCUAAAUAUUGGUGAGAGACCGAUAGCAAACAAGUACCGUGAGGGAAAGAUGAAAAGAACUUUGGAAAGAGAGUUAACAGUACGUGAAAUUGUUAAAAGGGAAACAGUUGAAGUUAGACUUGUUGUUGUUGGUUCAGCUCUUUUAAGGGUGUUUUCUAAUAAUUAACAAACCAAUGUCAAUUUUUGGGUGUUGGAUAAGGGUUAUUGAAAUGUAGCAGUUUUGGCUGUGUUAUAGUCUUUGACUUGGAUACAAUGCUUAGGAUUGAGGAUUGCAGUAAGCCAUUUAUUUGGUGGAACAAUUUAUUGUUCUUCUUGCUGAGGAUAUUGGUGAAAUAGCUUUAAUUGACCCGU